GACAGAGGGUGCAAACGUUGUUCGGAAUUACUGGGCGUAAAGCGCACGUAGGCGGCUUUGUAAGUUAGAGGUGAAAGCCCGGAGCUCAACUCCGGAAUUGCCUUUAAGACUGCAUCGCUUGAAUCCAGGAGAGGUGAGUGGAAUUCCGAGUGUAGAGGUGAAAUUCGUAGAUAUCGGGAGGAACACCGGCGGCGAAGGCGGCGACCUGGUUGGAUACUGACGCUGAGGCGCGAAAGCGUGGGGAGCAAACAGG
rnacentral:rRNA from 1 species